rnacentral:rRNA from 1 species
UCGGAUUUAUUGGGCGUAAAGAGCGCGUAGGCGGUUUAUCAAGUCAGAUGUGAAAGCCCUGGGCUCAACCUGGGAAGUGCAUUUGAAACUAGUAGACUUGAGUAUGGGAGAGGGGAGUGGAAUUCCUGGUGUAGAGGUGAAAUUCGUAGAUAUCAGGAGGAACACCGGUGGCGAAGGCGACUUCCUGGACCAAUACUGACGCUGAGGCGCGAAAGCAAGGGGAGCAAACAGGAUUAGAUACCCUGGUAGUCCUUGCCUUAAACUAUGUAUACUUGAUGUAUCUGGACUCAACCCUAGAUGUGUCGAAGCUAACGCGAUAAGUAUACCGCCUGGGGAGUACGCUCGCAAGGGUGAAACUCAAAAGAAUUGACGGGGACCCGCACAAGCAGUGGAGCAUGUGGUUUAAUUCGAUGCAACGCGAAGAACCUUACCCAGGCUUGACAUGCACUUGACCGGUCCAGAAAUGGAUCUUCUCUUCGGAGCAGGUGCACAGGUGCUGCAUGGCUGUCGUCAGCUCGUGCCGUGAGGUGUUUGGUUAAGUCCAGCAACGAGCGCAACCCUUAUCAUUAGUUGCCAACACGUAAUGGUGGGAACUCUAAUGAGACUGCCCGGGUUAACCGGGAGGAAGGUGAGGAUGACGUCAAGUCCGCAUGGCCCUUAUGUCUGGGGCUACACACGUGCUACGAUGGUCGGUACAAUGGGCAGCAAAAUCGUGAGAUGAAGCAAAUCCCUCAAAGCCGAUCCCAGUUCAGAUUGUAGUCUGCAACUCGACUACAUGAAGACGGAAUUGCUAGUAAUGGCGUGU